AUUAAGAUGUUGUUUACAACAGGUGUGGAAUAGCUCAUUUAUUGUAUAAAAGGUAUUAGGAAAACUAAUUAGAUAGCCUAUCCUAUCUCUCUGGAGAAUGUGCUUUGUUUAUGCACUGUGCCUCAAUGAGGCUCAGCCUUAUUCAGAAGGAAGAGACUUUUUCUGUUUGCCACCCUACAAAGCUGUGCAUGGGAAAGAUGCAGUCUGUGCAUGACCAAGAUCUGUGCUAUCAUUCUGAUAAGGUUUGGUGGUCCUAUCCUUUUUGAAGUUUGCCCCUGUCCCCUCGGAAAAAUGAAAAAUCAACAUCCCUGCAAUGGUGACACUGUCCCAACAUAAGGAAUCGAACAAAAGGGACAACAUGGAGAUUACAUUAUAUUUGAUGAUAUGCAAUGACGGCAAUGAUGAUGAUGGCAACAAUAACAUUGACGAUAGAAGUGGCAGCAUCCACAGUGGCUAGGAGAGAUGGGGCACCUGUUCUGCUGCAGGAAGUCACUGUGACAGUGCAAACAUAUGUCCCACUGAGCAUCACUGACAACAAACAUUAUGCCCAGCUUCUGCUUAUCUUCAGAGUUUAUUACUGUCUCCACUUGGAAACUGAAAUAUGAUUAGAUGUUGCUUUGGCUGACCAAAGCCAAAGCUUUGGUUAUUUAAGCAAACAGUCACAUUUUCUAUAUUAAUAUGUAUAUUUCCAAUUGUGAAUUCACAGAUUUCACAUUGUACAUUAGCCCAAAGUGGCAUUACUGAGAGUUUGUUGUUAGCAAUGGCAAUUCCAUAAAUGUUAAAAAUUGUCUGACUGCAAUCCCAGUCAUUGGUAGUUUGCUUUGUUUUGUGAUUGGCCACCAGGAGGUGAACACCAACUUAGUUUACAUUGCAGAGACAGAAUAAUCAAUGGUCAGAGGGGGGAUUGUAUAGCUAAAGUGGCAAUGUGUAUUCUUCUUCUAAUGGCAUGCUAACUAUAGAGUUGGAUUUAACUCUAUGUGUUUAGUUACAUUUUAAAAGGUGUUACAUAACAGUGGGGAAUAUUUGUUUUGUUUACUUAUUUUAAACUUGAUAUCUUACUUGCAAAUAA